rnacentral:rRNA from 1 species
GGAGUUAGCCGGUGCUUCUUCUGCGAGUAACGUCACAGAUGUAAGGUAUUAACUUACACCCUUUCCUCCUCGCUGAAAGUGCUUUACAACCCGAAGGCCUUCUUCACACACGCGGCAUGGCUGCAUCAGGGUUUCCCCCAUUGUGCAAUAUUCCCCACUGCUGCCUCCCGUAGGAGUCUGGGCCGUGUCUCAGUCCCAGUGUGGCUGAUCAUCCUCUCAGACCAGCUAGGGAUCGUCGCCUAGGUGAGCCUUUACCUCACCUACUAGCUAAUCCCACCUGGGCUUAUCCAUCAGCGCAAGGCCCGAAGGUCCCCUGCUUUCCCCCGUAGGGCGUAUGCGGUAUUAGCAGUCGUUUCCAACUGUUAUCCCCCACAAAUGGGCAAAUUCCCAGGCAUUACUCACCCGUCCGCCGCUCGUCAUCUUCAAAAGCAAGCUUUUAGAAAUGUUACCGCUCGACUUGCAUGUGUUAGGCCUGCCGCCAGCGUUCAAUCUGAGCCAGGAUCAAACUCGA